rnacentral:rRNA from 1 species
UACGGAGGGGACUAGCGUUGUUCGGAAUUACUGGGCGUAAAGCGCACGUAGGCGGAUUUGUAAGUCAGGGGUGAAAUCCCGGGGCUCAACCCCGGAACUGCCUUUGAUACUGCAAAUCUCGAGUCCGGAAGAGGUGAGUGGAAUUCCUAGUGUAGAGGUGAAAUUCGUAGAUAUUAGGAAGAACACCAGUGGCGAAGGCGGCUCACUAGUCCGGUACUGACGCUGAGGUGCGAAAGCGUGGGGAGCAAACAGG